rnacentral:misc_RNA from 1 species
AUACUCCUCAACUUCAAUCUUUUUGUUUGAAGUUGGAUUUGGAUGUUGUUGUUGUCGUUUCAACGACUCGUCCUAAAUGCAUUAGCGAUCUGUCUUGAUCACACACAAUGUGAUAAAUAUUGAAGCAUUGUUACAAUCAAGUCAAGACUGCUUCUAACCGUCCGAAAAGACAAUACAUGUC